UACGAAGGGGGCUAGCGUUGUUCGGAAUCACAGGGCGUAAAGCGCACGCCGGCGGAUCGAUAAGUCGGGGGUGAAAGCCCGGGGCUCAACCUCGGAAUUGCCUUCGAUACUGUCGGUCUCGAGUCCGGGAGAGGUGAGUGGAAUUCCUAGUGUAGAGGUGAAAUUCGUAGAUAUUAGGAAGAACACCAGCGGCGAAGGCGGCUCACUGGCCCGGUACUGACGCUCAGGUGCGAAAGCGUGGGGAGCAAACAGG
rnacentral:rRNA from 1 species